AGAUUUCAACUGACAAGUUUUCUGCAAGAAAGAUGCUUCUCUGGUAUCUGCUGAGAUCAUUUGAAAUCAUGGUAGAACGCCCAGAAUUAUGGGCUCUUCUUGAAAUUGGAUAUCAUCAAACGAGGCACUAAUUACAGAACAAUUAACAAAAGCCUAAAAGGGUGUAAUGGAGAAUUUCUAAUGAAUCCUGACUUAUCAUGGCUGAAAGAAGACUUGAAGUUGGAUUAAUGUAGAAACACUGGAAUUCUACUGAAGGAGCUGGUGCUUGAUUUGAUAGAAAAAAAGAAUUAUUACACUGUUCUAUUCCCUUUUUCAGUUUGUAAAACUCCUCAGACAAUUGUUUUCUAAGAAAGGAUUAAACUCCUAUAUGAAA